rnacentral:rRNA from 1 species
GAUGAACGCUGGCGGCGUGCCUAAUACAUGCAAGUCGAGCGAACGGACGAGAAGCUUGCUUCUCUGAUGUUAGCGGCGGACGGGUGGGUAACACGUGGAUAACCUACCUAUAAGACUGGGAUAACUUCGGGAAACCGGAGCUAAUACCGGAUAAUAUUUUGAACCGCAUGGUUCAAAAGUGAAAGACGGUCUUGCUGUCACUUAUAGAUGGAUCCGCGCUGCAUUAGCUAGUUGGUAAGGUAACGGCUUACCAAGGCAACGAUGCAUAGCCGACCUGAGAGGGUGAUCGGCCACACGGGAACUGAGACACGGUCCAGACUCCUACGGGAGGCAGCAGUAGGGAAUCUUCCGCAAUGGGCGAAAGCCUGACGGAGCAACGCCGCGUGAGUGAUGAAGGUCUUCGGAUCGUAAAACUCUGUUAUUAGGGAAGAACAUAUGUGUAAGUAACUGUGCACAUCUUGACGGUACCUAAUCAGAAAGCCACGGCUAACUACGUG